UGGCGCUGGGUAGCAAAGCCGGAGAACCGCUGAGACGAGGGCUCCGCGAAGGAAUGUAGGUGUUCAAAUGCCAGCCGCGAAACCCCAGGAUCCCCCCUACAGGAGGAGGCAGGGGUCUGGUGCUCAUGUGGGUGGUCAGUUGCUGUGUCUCCAAAUCCGUGGCUCCCAGUGUUUUUUGAGACAGGCUCUCACUAUGUCG